GUUUGUGCUGAGUUCUCCGCGAGGGCAGGAAGAAGCUAGUCUUAUUCCUUUCCUGUGAUUUUGGUGACUCCUGAUGGUCCUCUUUCCUGCUCACUGCCUAGAAGGCAUAACAGUCGCUCCUGGAUCAGUCGUUAAAUUCCUGUCCUUCGAUUCCAUACAUUGUUGGCGGUAGUUCUACAGACUGAGAACUCAAUCUUUCAGACAAAUGGGUUCCCACUUGGAAUCCUAGGUACCUCCAAAAAAAGAGAAAAAGUAUCAACAGGAGUAUUCAAUCAGUGGAAUAUCAGAAAACCAAGCCUAUUAGCUGGAGAGCAUUAUCUUCGGUCUAAAACGCCAAGCUACUCUCAUUAUUCGGUCAAGAAAUUAUUUGUUGAAAAAAUACUAGGUACGAGGGAUAAAACAAUGAAAAAGGCAAACAUGGACGCUACCUUUCCAGAAUUAACAGUCUAUUGAAGAAGACAAACUAUUUAAAAACAGUGUAAUAAGGUUACUACAAGGACUGCAAUGCCAGGCUUGUAGGGGCACGUGAGGGUGUCCACAAGGGGGUCUAUAAAGCCUUUUGUAAGGUGAUAUCUAAGUAAUACAUAAAGGAAAAGUUAGUGUUGCAAGGAAACAACUGACGGAAAAGUCCAAAGAGAUUGUGUAGAGCAAUUGGGGAAGUAAUUGUGCUCAGGGAAAGAGGAUUUGGGCCGUGGGGGAAGGUAGUAACCACAGAGGAGACUGAGAGGUAAGGCUAGAUAACAUACCCUAGUGAAUAUGAUUGCUUCUAUUUCAAAAUGUGAAGUAGGUGAUUGUCUUUUGAAAACCUUAUAUAUUACAGAAUCCAUUUGCACCCUAAAUAGUUCCAGUACAAAAAUGUUUUGAAUGUAACUUGAUUGAGAGCCAAUGAUAUACAGCUCAUAGAACUAGCAAAAAUCCACAAGUUAAUUCCUGAAAUCAAAUAAUUACUGGUUAUCCAGUGUGUAUGGUGGAAGGCAAUAGUAUGGAAACUAAACAAUUACCCCCAUUAAUUACUGAAGUUAUUUUUAAAUGAAGUGAAAAUUUAAAAUUUGGGGGAGGGGAUCCUCCAAGAAGAAAUUAUUCACACCUUCAUAUUCCUAACAUAUGCCAUUAACAAAACACUUUUAUAUGCAUUUUAUUCUCCCCUACAACCAUGUGAGAUAGUCAGAAUGGGUGCUAUUUGUCCCCCACACUUUCAGUUGAAGACACUGAAAUGAAAGAGAAAUAGAGGGGGGAGAGAGAAGCAUACCCACUAGUAAGACAACUGGGGCUCAGAUCCCACUCUGCUCUUUACACAACCUCUGACAAUGUUGUUACCAUUGUUAGUUUUGUUAAGGUGGUUGGUUUGUUUAUUGUGGUUCUUGGCCCUCUACCAUUUUUUAUUUCGAGAUAGGGUCUUGCUAAGAUGCCCAGGCUGACUUUGAAUUUGUAGUCCUCCUUCCUUAACCCCACAAGUCUGUUAUUACAGGCUUGCCUCAUGAUACCCAGCUUGUUUAACACUUUAAAAUAUUUGUUUUUCAUCUUAGCUAUCAUUUACUUCAGU
rnacentral:lncRNA from 1 species